UACGAAGGGGGCUAGCGUUGCUCGGAAUCACUGGGCGUAAAGGGUGCGUAGGCGGGUCUUUAAGUCAGGGGUGAAAUCCUGGAGCUCAACUCCAGAACUGCCUUUGAUACUGGAAGUAUCUGAGUUCGGGAGAGGUGAGUGGAACUGCGAGUGUAGAGGUGAAAUUCGUAGAUAUUCGCAAGAACACCAGUGGCGAAGGCGGCUCACUGGCCCGAUACUGACGCUGAGGUGCGAAAGCGUGGGGAUCCAAAGCAGGG
rnacentral:rRNA from 1 species